rnacentral:rRNA from 1 species
UACGUAGGUGGCAAGCGUUGUUCGGAAUUACUGGGCGUAAAGGGCGCGUAGGCGGCCCGCUAAGUCGAACGUGAAAUCCCCAGGCUCAACCUGGGAACUGCGUCCGAUACUGGCAGGCUUGAAUCCGGGAGAGGGAUGUGGAAUUCCAGGUGUAGCGGUGAAAUGCGUAGAUAUCUGGAGGAACACCGGUGGCGAAGGCGGCAUCCUGGACCGGUAUUGACGCUGAGGCGCGAAAGCUAGGGUAGCAAACGGG